GGGGCCUUCGCUGAGCCCGGGCUGGGGACCCCUCGGCGAGAGCCCUCCCCGGUCAGAUCCCGGGCGCCGAAACCGGGGGGCGGCCGCUGCCGGAGCCACGCCCUUCCCGCUGCCAUCACCAGGCCGUGCCCCUUCCACAUCUUUGACGUUGACCCUCGUAUAGUGACCCCUGCGACUCCAGCAGGCACACCGAGAUGAUCCCAGAUGGUCUUUCCUCCCGGAACCCUCCUUAAUGCCACCUGCCAAGUCCUUUAGACCACGGGAGGAGGGCGCGGACCCUGGGGUGAGUGAGUGGACCCUGGGUGGGGUGAGUGGACCCCGGGGUGGGGUGAGCCUUCCUCUACCAACACCCCUCGGCACCCUGUAAGCAGUUUUGUUUCUCGCUUCUCUCUUUUUAGAAACAGCUGGGUGUGUCCUGCAGUCCUGGGGGGAGCCAGGGCCUCCUGCGCCCUCGGCCAUUCUCCGCCGCGGGCCCCCAGCCCGUCUUUUUCAUUUUGAAACAGGGGUCAGCUAGUUGUGCAGGCUGGCCUCGAAUACAGUCCCCUGCGUCAGUCUUCUGAGUCCUUGGGGUUCAUUCUUCUUUUUUCCUCGGUGACAUCAGUGUCCCCACUUACACAUUCUUCCCUAACAUCCUUGUUGAGGGCUGCGUAUGUUGCAGGCACCCGUUUCUUUUUCUCUGGAUAACAAGCAUUUACUGACGGCUUCCUGCGUGCCGGGCACUAGGCUGGGUGGAGGGUACACACUGAGUGGGGCCACGCAGCUCCUCCCUCCGGAGCUUGCUGCCUUCCAAGGGCCAAACAGAAGGCCCUCAGGGAAAGCACAGGCUCUAGGGCAGGGGUCCGCACAGCCAAAGAAGGCCACAGCUGAACUGUGCAGAGCGGGGAGGCUGGCGCUGACCGGGAAGGACGGGGCUCCCUGGAAGCCUCAAGUUCCGUGGCUCCUGGCAGAAGGUCGAGGCAAGAGUUCUCCUCUUGAUCCGUUAAGACAGCAUUGGAAAGUCUGGAAGCUCUUGAGGCCGCUCUGAUAGGGUGAGUUUAAGAAGCUACCUAGUGCUUGGGAGGCUGAGGCAGGAGGAUGGCAAGUUUGAAGCCAGCCUCUGCAACUUAGCCAGACCGUGUCUCAAAAUAAAAAGUAAAGGAGUGGGUUCUGGUUUAGCGGUAGGGUGCUUUAGCAUGGGAGAGACCCUGCGUUCCACCCCACCCUGCCAGUGAGUGAGAGAGAAA
rnacentral:lncRNA from 1 species